AAACCCCCAUGUCUUUUAAGAUUUUUCUUACAGAGUAGCCGCUUGUCUUCCCAUUGACGAUGCAUUAAGAAUUCAGCUCUUAAAAAUCGGUAGCGCCAUCCAACGGCUGCGCUGUGAACUCGACAUUAUGAAUAAAUGCACGUCCCUUUGCUGUAAACAGUGUCAAGAAACAGAAAUAACCACCAAAAAUGAAAUAUUCAGUUUAUCCUUAUGCGGACCGAUGGCAGCCUACGUGAAUCCUCAUGGAUACGUGCACGAGACGCUGACCGUGUACAAGGCCUCCAACUUGACCCUGAUCGGCCGGCCUUCCACGGAGCACAGCUGGUUUCCUGGGUAAUGUGGGGUCGUCGUG